rnacentral:ncRNA from 1 species
AUAGCCCCUUCGUACGAAAGGAGUUGGGUAUAUUGACCUAUGGUUUACCUGUUGUUUAUGCUAUAUAUUAUAUAUUAUAUAAUAUAUCAUUUACUUAUACUUAAGUAAAUUGUUCACAUAGGCAUGGCAGGAAGGCUACGUCAGUUAAAGAUAAGUGCUGAAAGCAUUUAAGCGCGAAGCUUA